UACGUAGGGUGCGAGCGUUGUCCGGAAUUAUUGGGCGUAAAGAGCUCGUAGGCGGUCUGUCGCGUCGAUCGUGAAAACUUGGGGCUUAACCCUGAGCUUGCGGUUGAUACGGGCAUGACUGGAGUUCGGCAGGGGAGACUGGAAUUCCUGGUGUAGCGGUGAAAUGCGCAGAUAUCAGGAGGAACACCGGUGGCGAAGGCGGGUCUCUGGGCCGAUACUGACGCUGAGGAGCGAAAGCGUGGGGAGCGAACAGG
rnacentral:rRNA from 1 species